AUUGAACGCUGGCGGCAGGCCUAACACAUGCAAGUCGAGCGGAUGAAGGGAGCUUGCUCCUGGAUUCAGCGGCGGACGGGUGAGUAAUGCCUAGGAAUCUGCCUGGUAGUGGGGGAUAACGUCCGGAAACGGGCGCUAAUACCGCAUACGUCCUGAGGGAGAAAGUGGGGGAUCUUCGGACCUCACGCUAUCAGAUGAGCCUAGGUCGGAUUAGCUAGUUGGUGGGGUAAAGGCCUACCAAGGCGACGAUCCGUAACUGGUCUGAGAGGAUGAUCAGUCACACUGGAACUGAGACACGGUCCAGACUCCUACGGGAGGCAGCAGUGGGGAAUAUUGGACAAUGGGCGAAAGCCUGAUCCAGCCAUGCCGCGUGUGUGAAGAAGGUCUUCGGAUUGUAAAGCACUUUAAGUUGGGAGGAAGGGCAGUAAGUUAAGACCUUGCUGUUUUGAUGUUACCAACAGAAUAAGCACCGGCUAACUUCGU
rnacentral:rRNA from 1 species